GACGAACGCUGGCGGCGUGCUUAACACAUGCAAGUCGAACGAAGUGGCGAACGGGUGAGUAACGCGUAAUCAACCUGCCCUUCAGAGGGGGACAACAGUUGGAAACGACUGCUAAUCCCGCAUACUGAAGGAGGGGUUUGUGUCUGAUUGGCUGGUUGGAGGGGGAACGGCCCACCAAGGCGAUGAUCAGUAGGCGGUCUGAGGGGAUGAACGGGCAACAUGGGAAUGGGACACGGCCCAGACUCCUACGGGAGGCAGGAGGGGGGAAUCUUCCGGAAUGGGCGAAAGUCUGACGGAGCAACGCCGCGUGAGUGAUGACGGCCUUCGGGUUGUAAAGCUCUGUUAAUCGGGACGCGGUACCGGAAUAGAAAGCCACGGCUAACUACGUGCCAGCAGCCGCGGUAAUAC
rnacentral:rRNA from 1 species